rnacentral:rRNA from 1 species
AUGCACGCUGGCGGCGUGCCUAAUACAUGCAAGUCGCGCGAACGGACGAGAAGCUUGCUUCUCUGAUGUUAGCGGCGGACGGGUGAGUAACACGUGGAUAACCUACCUAUAAGACUGGGAUAACUUCGGGAAACCGGAGCUAAUACCGGAUGAUAUUUUGAACCGCAUGGUUCAAAAGUGAAAGACGGUCUUGCUGUCACUUAUAGAUGGAUCCGCGCUGCAUUAGCUAGUUGGUAAGGUAACGGCUUACCAAGGCAACGAUGCAUAGCCGACCUGAGAGGGUGAUCGGCCACACUGGAACUGAGACACGGUCCAGACUCCUACGGGAGGCAGCAGUAGGGAAUCUUCCGCAAUGGGCGAAAGCCUGACGGAGCAACGCCGCGUGAGUGAUGAAGGUCUUCGGAUCGUAAAACUCUGUUAUUAGGGAAGAACAUAUGUGUAAGUAACUGUGCACAUCUUGACGGUACCUAAUCAGAAAGCCACGGCUAACUACGUG